ensembl:Y_RNA Y_RNA Y RNA
AGCUGGUCUGAAGGUAGUGAGUUAUCUCAAUUGAUUGUUCACAGUCACAGAUCGAACUCCUUGUUCUACUCUUUCCCCCUUCUCACUACUGUACUUGACUAGUCAAAA